rnacentral:rRNA from 1 species
UAGGGAAUCUCCCACAAUGGGCGAAAGCCUGAUGGAGCAACGCCGCGUGUGUGAUGAAGGCUUUCGGGUCGUAAAGCACUGUUGUAUGGGAAGAACAGCUAGAAUAGGAAAUGAUUUUAGUUUGACGGUACCAUACCAGAAAGGGACGGCUAAAUACGUGCCAG